CUCAACCGGGGAACGGCGCAUGAAACUGGCGAACUAGAGUACGGAAGAGGGAGGUGGAAUUCCAGGUGUAGCGGUGAAAUACGUAGAUAUCUGGAGGAACACCGGUGGCGAAGGCGGCCUCCUGGUCCGAUACUGACGCUGAGACGCGAAAGCGUGGGUAGCAAACAGGAUUAGAUACCCUGGUAGUCCACGCUGUAAACGAUGGGCACUAGGUGUCCGGGGUAUUGACCCCCUGGGUGCCGCAGUUAACGCAUUAAGUGCCCCGCCUGGGGACUACGGUCGCAAGACUAAAACUCAAAGGAAUUGACGGGGGCCCGCACAAGCGGUGGAGCAUGUGGUUCAAUUCGACGCAACGCGAAGAACCUUACCUGGGCUAGACAACGGCGGACCGCCCCAGAGAUGGGGUCUUCCCUUCGGGGACUGC
rnacentral:rRNA from 1 species